rnacentral:rRNA from 1 species
GACGAACGCUGGCGGCGUGCUUAACACAUGCAAGUCGAACGGAAAGGCCCUGCUUUUGUUGGUUGCUCGAGUGGCGAACGGGUGAGUAACACGUGAGUAACCUGCCCUUGACUUUGGGAUAACUUCAGGAAACUGGGGCUAAUACCGCAUAUGAUCUCCUGCUGCAUGUUGUGCGUUGGAAAGUUUCGGCGGUUGGGGAUGGACUCGCUGCUUAUCAGCUUGUUGGUGUGGUAGUGGCUUACCAAGGCUUUGACGGGUAGCCGGCCUGAGAGGGGUACCGGGCACAUUGGGACUGAGAGAGGGCCCAGAAGGGUACGGGAGGCAGUAGUGGGGAGUAUUACACAAUGGGCGGAAGCCUGAUGCAGAAACGCCGCGUGCGGGAUGACGGGCUUCGGGUGGUAAACAGAUGUCGACUGUGACGAAGAGUGAGUGACGGUAAUGGGUAAAGAAGCACCGGCUAACUACGUG